AUCAAUAACUUAUUCCAAACCAAGCUAUCCGAGAUUCAGGACUUUUAAGCUUUAGAACCCAGAAGACUCAGCAGCGGUAGACCAUACUCACCACAGUUCUCUAUUUGUCUUCUCAAACCGCCACUGCUCCUCAUAAACUCUGGCGAAUCGAGUCGAGGCAAGGCAAGGCAAGGCGACACCGCGACGGCGAAACUCGUUCCUCAUAAACUCAGGCGACGGCGAGUCUCGCUCCUCCUCGACGAGUCACGAUUUCACUGAUUCACUCUCGAAUUUUGCUCACUUCUUAGUGCUCAGACGAUUUCACGAUUCCGCUCAGCUGUAUCUUUUAAUUUAAAAGAUCUCGCUACUGCUUGUUUGAAGGAUUAACAGCACAAGUGAAGCUCACUGCCUGGAUUUCACUCUCAGAAGGCAGAAGUCAGAAGCUCACAAUUUCACUUUCAGAAUUAAAACUCUGCUCAGGCACUCACGAUUUCUCAUUCUCUUCAAUCGUGUAAUUCCA